rnacentral:rRNA from 1 species
UACGUAGGUGGCAAGCGUUGUCCGGAUUUAUUGGGUUUAAAGGGUGCGUAGGCGGCCCUGUAAGUCAGUGCUGAAAUAUCCCAGCUUAACUUGGAGGGUGGCAUUGAUACUGCGGGGCUAGAGUACAGAUGAGGUAGGCGGAAUUGACGGUGUAGCGGUGAAAUGCUUAGAUAUCGUCAAGAACACCUAUAGCGAAGGCAGCUUACUAGGCUGUAACUGACGCUGAGGCACGAAAGUGUGGGGAUCAAACAGG